UCACACAGCUAGCAAAGGCAUGAGGCAGCAUUUGAAUCCAGGUCUUUCUGACUCUGAGUUCAAUGUUCCAUCCAUCUCAGCAGGGUGAUCCUUGCUAGGGUAUGUACUGCUCAGACCACAUAGGCUCUGAGCUCCCUUCCAGUGCUGAGCAGCCAGUUGAGCAACCAUCAAGCAUUUAUUAGGUAGUUUUCUCUGCCAGGCACUGUGCUUGGCACUAGGGGUUACAAAUACAGUCACUGAAACAAUCCUUACUGGCAAGGAGCUCAUUAGUGGAUCUGGUCACUCUGUCCUGGCAUGGAAUCUGUCACCAGAGAAGCCUUCAAGUGAGCACACUGUCCUGGUAAAUCUCAAAAUCAUAUGCCCUCAGCCCAAGAUUCCAACUCCUGACUGGAACUGAGCCCCUGUGGCUGCCCCAAGAGGAUUGGGGACCUAGGAGAGUUCAGGGCCACCCCCUCCAGGGCGCUGCAGGUGUCUGCAGGUAUCUGCAGGCAAUGAGAGGCGAUUAAGGCAGGAGUGUUGUUACUGUUGUUUUAGCCAGUUUAUCAUUAGCCAGCAACUUCCAGCUCCCAGUGUCUUUCAAAAGGCUGCUUUUGCUCUUGCUGAGAAGGGACAGGGAAGCCAGCUGGGGAACAAGGACUUGGCAUACAGCUAGCAUACUGAGGAUUAUGGGAGGGAAAUGGCAGAACCAUCCAGUCCCCUCACUUUACAGAUAAAGAAACUGAGGCCCAGAAGUAGCAAUUUAGCUGAGAUUAUGAAGGUAAGAAGUAACAGAGACAGGAUUUGAACCCAGGUCCUGUGACUCCUUCCACUAUACUUUCCUGUCCAUUUUUAUCACUUAGUUAUUGUAACUGUCAUUCAGGAUUAAAUUUGAAGGUUGGGAAAAAUCUCCCCUGCUUUUAUGAUAUUUGAAAUGAGCCAAAAAUCAAUCAGUGGUUACAGAAGUCACAGGUCAGUGCAGCCCUUUCAGGCAUUCUGCAAAAGAGAACUUUUGGUGACUACUGGUCACCUGGUAUCCUACCAGAAGUUAAUAUUUCACUUGCUGGGAGUUUAUGGAACAGAGAAAGACAAUGAAGCUGGUCUUGAAGGGCCAAAGAUAAGGAAGCUCACACGACGCAGAGUUGGAGAAUGACUUGCUCAAGAUGCAUGAGUUGACCAGGUUAUAACCUCAUGAACUUCAAAAGGUCAGAAGAGUCAUGCACUCAGCAGCUAGAAUUGGUAAUAGAGAUCAAUGGAAACAGUAGCAGAAGUAGCUGAAUCAAGUGAAGAGUCAGCCUUGAGGAGCAACCUGUUCUACCUAGCGCAACAAUGGAAUGCCCCAUCUCGGCCAACACACUCGGUCUCAUAAGGAACCAGCCAAGAUGAAUCAGGGAGCCACUUGUCCAUGUCCAAAUGUCCUCAACCCAAAAUAGACUUGAUAGGAAUUCCUUGGGGCCAGGAGUCAAGGGUAUCCCUGAGCCCCUCAUGUUCCCUACAACCUCAUGUAUCUCAUUGGAAUAGCAAUAUAAGUUUGAUCCCACUCUUACUAGGGGCGUGCGUGCGUGCGUGCAUGUGUGUGUGAAGGAAAAAUGUUCCCUCUGGUUUGUGGGAAUUAUUUUGUUCUUGCCAUACCUUCUCAGUCAAGUCUACUGUUCUUGUUAUAUGUUCUAAAUAAAUUC